rnacentral:rRNA from 2 species
CCUACGGGAGGCAGCAGUGGGGAAUAUUGGACAAUGGGCGAAAGCCUGAUCCAGCCAUGCCGCGUGUGUGAAGAAGGUCUUCGGAUUGUAAAGCACUUUAAGUUGGGAGGAAGGGCAUUAACCUAAUACGUUAGUGUUUUGACGUUACCAACAGAAUAAGCACCGGCUAACUUCGUGCCAGCAGCCGCGGUAAU